rnacentral:rRNA from 1 species
UACAGAGGGUGCGAGCGUUAAUCGGAUUUACUGGGCGUAAAGGGCGCGUAGGCGGUUGAUUAAGUGAGAUGUGAAAUCCCUGGGCUUAACCUAGGAACUGCAUUUUAUACUGAUUGACUAGAGUAUUGUAGAGGGUAGUGGAAUUUCCGGUGUAGCGGUGAAAUGCGUAGAGAUCGGAAGGAACACCAGUGGCGAAGGCGGCUACCUGGACAAAUACUGACGCUGAGGCGCGAGAGCGUGGGGAGCAAACAGG